AGUGAACGCUGGCGGUAGGCCUAACACAUGCAAGUCGAACGGCAGCACAGUAAGGGCUUGCUCUUACUGGUGGCGAGUGGCGUACGGGUGAGGAAUACAUCGGAAUCUACUUUUUCGUGGGGGAUAACGUAGGGAAACUUACGCUAAUACCGCAUACGACCUACGGGGGAAAGCAGGGGAUCUUCGGACCUUGCGCGAUUGAAUGAGCCGAUGUCGGAUUAGCUAGUUGGCGGGGUAAAGGCCCACCAAGGCGACGAUCCGUAGCUGGUCUGAGAGGAUGAUCAGCCACACUGGAACUGAGACACGGUCCAGACUCCUACGGGAGGCAGCAGUGGGGAAUAUUGGACAAUGGGGGCAAGCCUGAUCCAGCCAUACCGCGUGGGUGAAGAAGGCCUUCGGGUUGUAAAGCCCUUUUGUUGGGAAAGAAAAGCAGCAGGUUAAUACCCCGCUGUUCUGACGGUACCCAAAGAAUAAGCACCGGCUAACUUCGUG
rnacentral:rRNA from 1 species